rnacentral:rRNA from 1 species
UGCGUAGGUGGUUGUUUAAGUCUGCUGUGAAAGCCCCGGGCUCAACCUGGGAAUGGCAGUGGAUACUGGACAGCUAGAGUGCGGUAGAGGGUAGUGGAAUUCCCGGUGUAGCAGUGAAAUGCGUAGAGAUCGGGAGGAACACCAGUGGCGAAGGCGGCUACCUGGACCAGCACUGACACUGAAGCACGAAAGCUGGGGAGCAAACA